CGGAGGAUCCAAGCGUUAUCCGGAAUCAUUGGGUUUAAAGGGUCCGUAGGCGGUUUUGUAAGUCAGUGGUGAAAUCUGGUCGCUCAACAAUCAAACGGCCAUUGAUACUGCAAGACUUGAAUUAUUGGGAAGUAACUAGAAUAUGUAGUGUAGCGGUGAAAUGCUUAGAUAUUACAUGGAAUACCAAUUGCGAAGGCAGGUUACUACCAAUGGAUUGACGCUGAUGGACGAAAGCGUGGGUAGCGAACAGG
rnacentral:rRNA from 1 species